GAGCUAAAUCCCCAACCCCCCCUCUUACCUUUAAUGCUCCUUGGCAAUGCACCAAGGACCAAGCACUCCCUGGGAAAUCCAAUCUGGGGGUUGAGUCCUGGCAGGAUUUAGACUCAAACAAGAGCAUCAUUCAAGCUAACGAGGGCUGGAACAAGUAACAUCACUGUGAGGAUCUGACUACCGAGCGUGCAUAUUAAUCAGAUUAACUCGUUUCUUGCUUUUGCUGUUGUGGCAAUCGAACUGAGGACAAGGCUGGCUACCCAUUGUGACUUCUACAGAGGAAACUACAACCUACAUAUGGCCUUUAGUGACCUCCGGCUCCCUCCAAGGCUGUUUAAUAAAAACCAUGGUUUGACCGGCAAUAGAAUGAUCCAAAUAAGAAACAUCCUUUCAUUCUAUCUCCCAACAAAAUGAACACAGACCAAGAGAUGGAGAGUGUAUACAAGCACAUCCCGUGAUUACAUGGAGAGACGAGGAGACGAGAGCUCUAAGACCAAAACUGCCGCUGCUACUGAUGAGACGAGGGGCUGAGAGCAGCGUCCAGAGGCACAGAGCAUCUGCUUCUGACAGACGGGGGUCUGAAUGCUGCUCUUCUCCAGAGCGGACAGAAACUCAGUGAAAUCCGACUGUUGGCACGUGAGGAAAAGUAAGUGGACACACUCCUUUGCUUACAGGGGCACGCUCUUCCUUUCAGUUGAUAAUCAACAACACACGCUCAACCACCUUUAACGACAGCAUAGGACACGGGCCUAAUUUUCCUGAGAGUUAAGCGAGACCUGCUAAUAAACAGGCUAUGAAGCUGACCCGAGUGACUGGAACCUCCAAACUCAGACAUGGCGCUUCAGCCCCACUAGCUAAGUCUCGGCCGUUAGAGCAAAGGUGCCUCUGUCAGCCACAUGCUUGGUCACACAGCCUUGGAACUGUCAGGCACUAGAAAAAAGUGCCGUCUAUUGUGCGAAUUCGAUGGCCGCCGAGGAGCGGGCAGCACUGAGGGUAAGGGGUAAUACCACAGAAAGCCACAGGCUCUGCCGCCCUGGAGAGAGAGCAGCAAGGGCCAUGUGGGCUGACCAGCUCUGCUCCCAUCUGCUGAGGACUGCCGGAAGCUGCAAAGCUCUUCACACACAAGACAGACAGCACCUUGAGUGGAACCUAUGGAGAGCCACCAGAUGUGAGUGUUGGCUACGGCAGGAAUGGCUACUGCUCCCUUGAUGUUAACUCCUCGUCUGAGUGUAAGAAUCUGGACGGUAUCUGUUAGGUAAAACUGGGCUUCGUGGCCAUCUUCUAACCUACUAACAUUUGCAGGCUUCUCCAGGUCACUCACGAGUGACAUCGUUAAAUAGCACAGGGAAGAAUAUGGCCUGGCUUUAAGCCACACUCUCUCCAUUUGCUGUGUAAUCUAAUACAAGGCACUUGAAGAACUGGUGCCUCGGUGUACGAACACGUGACGUGGUAAUGUGUUCACUUACCUCAGGAAGCGGAUACACAGACGGCUGGGCGCUCCAAGCGGACGGGACAGCACGGUGGAAACAUCUACAGCCCAGAAAAACCCCAGUGCCUCAGUGUCCACUUCCUGUGCCCGAGUCACCAUGCUUUCCUUUCCUUUCCAUAGUAAAUGUUAGCGGCGGCCCACUCCUUCACAUGUGUUAGCUGUUUGGCACACAGAUAUUUAUAUAUUUCAAGUCAUCAUGUUCUCUAGUCCAAAGCUGUUUCUUAAUUUUCUAAUACAGAGAAUCCAAUAAACACAAAUGUGGAGUCCCUGUGCUGAGAACAUUUAACUUUCUCUGAAGUAUAUGAGAUAUCAUUAAAAAAAAAAAUUGAACUAGUGCUGUGUGAAACCAUGUUUUUAAUGAAAAAUAAAACAAAAAAAAAACCAAAACAAAAAAAAAAACCCCAAAAAACCAAAAAAACAAAAACAAAAAAACAAAACCCAACCCCCCAGACCCCCUGAAAUUACGCCACAGGAUCAGCUACUCAUUUACAAAGAUGGAGUUUUGAGAAAAAGGAGCCUCAACAUGAUACAGAGUAGAUGUGGCAAAAGAGACAUUAAGCAUGUUUCCUGCACUGAAGUAAGUAGGGAUGAUAAAUUAUAAGUACAGUAGUUCAAAUAUUGCUUUUUAGCAUUAGCUUUUCAAAACAA
rnacentral:sRNA from 1 species